UCCGUAGGUGAACCUGCGGAAGGAUCAUUGUCGAAACCUGCCUAGCAGAACGACCCGUGAACGUGUUAUUAUACAAAUCACCGAGGGGGUGCGGGUGCAAUGUUGCCCCCAACCUCUCUCGAUGUCUUGGUGUGUUUGGUCUUGCCUCAACCCCUGUGGAUGAGUUGCAAGUUCCAUCCACCCCAAGGCAAAACUAACAACCCCCGGCGCGAAUUGCGCCAAGGAAUUGAAAUGAAAAGAGUGCACGUCACUGUCGUCAACCCGUUCGCGGUGUUUGUGCGGGAGUGUCGUUGACACUUUGUCGUGAAUAUACAAAACGACUCUCGGCAACGGAUAUCUCGGCUCUCGCAUCGAUGAAGAACGUAGCGAAAUGCGAUACUUGGUGUGAAUUGCAGAAUCCCGUGAACCAUCGAGUCUUUGAACGCAAGUUGCGCCCCAAGCCAUUAGGCCGAGGGCACGUCUGCCUGGGUGUCACGCAUCGUCGCCCCAAUCAAACCUCGAGCUUACCCGGCUCAGGUCAGUUUUGUGGGCGGAAAUUGGCUUCCCGUGCGCUCACCGUGCACGGUUAGCCUAAAAAUGAGUCUUCGGCGAUGAAGUGCCGCGACGAUCGGUGGGAAUGCUUUUUGCUGCCUCGUUCGAAGUCGUGUGUGCUCGUCGAUUCUGACCCUAUGACCCAUUUGGCAUCACAAUGUUGGUGCUCGCAUCGCGACCCCAGGUCAGGCGGGAUUACCCGCUGAGUUUA
rnacentral:rRNA from 1 species